rnacentral:lncRNA from 1 species
UGCCCUCUCCAGGAGGCAGAGGUGAGGCCAAGCCAGUGUGCACUCUUCCUCUGCCGCUCUCCAUGAGGUCCACCGAUGGGACCACUUAAGCCAGAGGGGGAUCUCUCAGGGAUGACAGCAUGAUUCCUGAUAUGGGCAAGGUGCUGGAUACCCACACUUGUUUUAUAACUUCUGGCUAUAAACCUGAGCACCGAUGCUUGACCUAUUGGUUAUGAGGCAGACAUGAAGAAGCUGGGAAGACGGUUUUGGUGAAUUCAGAGAUUUAAAUUUUGUCAAGACACAGUACUUCAUUGGAUAUGGGAUGGACAUCUUUGGAAAUGUGUCACAGGAAUAAGAUGUACCUGGCUUUAAUGCAAUAUUAAAAAAAAGCAGACAAAAUGAAACAAAGUUAAGGCAAAAAUAAUCCACAAUGAACAAAAAAAUUUGAGUAAAAUGGA